CCUACGGGAGGCAGCAGUGAGGAAUAUUGGUCAAUGGGCGCGAGCCUGAACCAGCCAAGUAGCGUGAAGGAUGACUGCCCUAUGGGUUGUAAACUUCUUUUAUAAAGGAAUAAAGUGCGGCACGUGUGCCUUUUUGUAUGUACCUUAUGAAUAAGGAUCGGCUAACUCCGUGCCAGCAGCCGCGGUAAUACGGAGGAUCCGAGCGUUAUCCGGAUUUAUUGGGUUUAAAGGGAGCGUAGAUGGGUUGUUAAGUCAGUUGUGAAAGUUUGCGGCUCAACCGUAAAAUUGCAAUUGAUACUGGCAGUCUAGAGUACAGUUGAGGUAGGCGGAAUGCGUGGUGUAGCGGUGAAAUGCAUAGAGAUCACGAAGAACUCCGAUUGCGAAGGCAGCUUACUAAACUGCCACUGACAUUGAUGCUCGAAAGUGUGGGUAUCAAACAGGAUUAGAUACCCGUGUAGUC
rnacentral:rRNA from 1 species